rnacentral:rRNA from 1 species
GACGAACGCUGGCGGCGUGCUUAACACAUGCAAGUCGAACGAGUGGCGGACGGGUGAGUAAUGUCUGGGAAACUGCCCGAUGGAGGGGGAUAACUACUGGAAACGGUAGCUAAUACCGCAUACCAUCGGAUGUGCCCAGAUGGGAUUAGCUAGUAGGUGGGGUAACGGCUCACCUAGGCGACGAGCCCUAGCUGGUCUGAGAGGAUGACCAGCCACACUGGAACUUAGACACGGUCCAGACUCCUACGGGAGGAAGCAGUGGGGAAUAUUGCACAAUGGGCGCAAGCCUGAUGCAGCCAUGCCGCGUGUAUGAAGAAGGCCUUCGGGUUGUAAAGCACUUUAAGUUGGGAGGCGUUACCAACAGAAUAAGCACCGGCUAACUUCGUGCCAGCAGCCGCGGUAAUAC